UACGGAGGGGGCUAGCGUUAUUCGGAAUUAUUGGGCGUAAAGGGCGCGUAGGCGGCCUGAUAAGUAGGGGGUGAAAUCCUGCGGCUUAACCGCAGGGCUGCCUUCUAAACUGUCAGGCUUGAGCACAGUAGAGGCAGGUGGAAUUCCCGGUGUAGCGGUGGAAUGCGUAGAGAUCGGGAAGAACAUCAGUGGCGAAGGCGGCCUGCUGGGCUGUUGCUGACGCUGAGGCGCGACAGCGUGGGGAGCAAACAGG
rnacentral:rRNA from 1 species